UACAGAGGUGGCAAGCGUUGUUCGGAAUUAUUGGGCGUAAAGGGCGCGUAGGCGGUGCGGUAAGUCACCUGUGAAAACUCUGGGCUCAACUCAGAGCCUGCAGGCGAAACUGCCGUGCUUGAGUGUGGGAGAGGUGCGUGGAAUUCCCGGUGUAGCGGUGAAAUGCGCAGAUAUCGGGAGGAACACCAAUGGCGAAGGCAGCUCGCUGGGACGGUACUGACGCUGAGACGCGAAAGCGUGGGGAGCAAACAGG
rnacentral:rRNA from 1 species